rnacentral:rRNA from 1 species
AUGGCAGCCCGGAAGGUUGACGCAGCCGAGUUUGAGAUCACAACGGAGAAGGCUUAUAAGAUAUCCUCUCCUGAUGAUCUCGUCCGCUUUGGGAAGCAGUUCAAUGAUUUUAUCGGUGCUUGUCCGGAUGCAUUUGCUGGUCUUAGGUGCCUGUGGCUGCGCAACAUGAGGUUUGGUGAACUGGACAUUCCCAACAUCCUCAGCACUUGCAAGCUCUUGGAGUCUCUGCAUUUAACCUAUUGCGACUCAGGGAUCCAUUCUGUACUCCAAGUAGAACAUGCUCUACUUGUUGAGCUCGAGGUUGACUAUGGGCAAUUUGAGAGAAUCGAGCUGAUAUGUCUACCCAAACUCCAACGGAUCUGGGUUCUACCAGAAUGCCCGAAGCUGCUCACGACUAUGCUCAGCAAACUACAGCAUGUGAAUCUAGACAAUCUUCCUGAAGGAUGUGAUUUAGGUUGGACACCAUUUAUUCUUGAAGCUGCACCCUCCCUAAAAGCGCUGUGCAUCACAGUAUGGGAUCAUUGGUGCAUAAUGGCGACAGACAAAGAGUUUCGGAAGGAAAAUGGUUUCUGCGAAAAGGCAGACGUGAAGUGGAAGCCAUAUGCCGCUGCUUUCAAGCACAAGAAUCUGGCUAAGCUUACCAUAUAUGGCUUACAACCUGACGGCAACUUUAUGCGAUACAUCAGGUGUGUUGUGGAAGCUGCAGUGAAUAUGAUAGAGAUAUCUCUGCAUGACAGAAAGAUGUGUGGACGCUGUGGUGACUUGGAUCCCGAGAUCAAAGACAAGGUUUGUCCAUCAAGAUAUCCACGGACCGCUGAGGAGAGGAAGAGGGCAGUUGAGGGGUUGGGUUUGGCUUCGCCGGCUCUGAUUCACUUUCGGUCCUAA